CAGCAGCCACGGUAAUACCGAGGGUGCGAGCGUUAAUCGGAUUUACUGGGCGUAAAGCGUGCGUAGGCGGCUUCUUAAGUCGGAUGUGAAAUCCCUGAGCUUAACUUAGGAAUUGCAUUCGAUACUGGGAAGCUAGAGUAUGGGAGAGGAUGGUAGAAUUCCAGGUGUAGCGGUGAAAUGCGUAGAGAUCUGGAGGAAUACCGAUGGCGAAGGCAGCCAUCUGGCCUAAUACUGACGCUGAGGUACGAAAGCAUGGGGAGCAAACAGGAUUAGAUACCCCGGUAGUCCCUGUCUCUUAUAC
rnacentral:rRNA from 1 species